rnacentral:lncRNA from 1 species
CGAUAGCUAUCACAACAAACUGUAUAAACUGAUGCAUCAAUGAAUAAUAACUCAACAAGUGAUGCUCAAUCAAGGAGUCGAUUUACUUUGGGAGGAAAUGGACAUAUUAAUGGAUUCCUCUGCUUUGAACUGCUUGCAGAACUUGCCUGGACUAUGUAUCACUUGUAUGCAUUGUGAACUAUCUGUUGGUGCAGCGAAUUGUGGUAGUGCUGGGGUAUCUUUGCUGAUGGUGUCAUCAGUGGUACAAUUUUUCCAAAAAGAGCCGUCAUUUGGCUUGGUGUCGUGGCAUUUUGUAUCCCCCCCCCCACUGGCACCAAUGCCAAAUUUGGGGGCCAACAGAGGUGAAGCAAAGAACCUCACCCCCCCACUGGUAUUUGGGGGCCAAUAGAGAUGAGGCAAAGAACCUCACCCCCCCACUGGCACCAAGGCCAAAUUUGGGGGCCAACAGAGAUGAGGCAAAGAACCUCACCCCCCACUGGCACCAAGGCCAAAUUUGGGGGCCAAUAGAGGUGAGGCAAAGAACCUCACCCCCCCACUGGUGCAAAGGCCUAUCCACAAGUAUGGCUGUAUGCUGGACCGGUAGUCAAUGACGGGUAAGAUCCAAUUGCAAUGGUACCAACCUAAGAUAGGAGGCUGACGCCUUGAGGUCAGCUCAUCCGAUAACGGGUAAGGACCAUAUGUAGUAUUGGACAACCUAAAACAGGCACGGUCCCUAAGCCACUUGCUUGGUGUUUAAUUAAACAGAAUGGGGGAGAUGCUGAGAGCCACAGCCGAGUCGGAAUGGCCCCUUGCAUUUUACCAGAAGUAUGGUUGAGAGGCGAGCCAUUAAGGUGAUGUUGGAUUGAAACAGGUUGUAUAAAAUUCAAUUGUAUAUUAGACCUUUACUGUCCGGUAAUAGGAUGGCUCUUGCUGCCUCAGGCGCCCACUACUUUGGAGUUCCUGUUGAGUUCUCAUGGGGUUCCGAGAGUGAGUGCGCGCGUAGCCUGGGGGAGUGAGUUCCGGUUGGUGUGUGGUGUGUUCCUGGAGGAGCCGCGUGGGUGGCAUUUGGGAGAGUUCCCGGGGAGUGUGCAUGGAAUGCUGUGGGAGUUCAGAAUAAAGUUUGUUUCUGCUUGAGUGGCUCGUGAUUUGUGUCCAGCCAGACUGCGGCAAUAUAAUAUCAUUGCACCUUAUUAUCCUUUUUUUAAAAUAAAAAUGUAUUUGCCAUAUGGUU